GUGCGUACAUGCGUGAUGACGUAGGGAGCGUCGAUUGGGAGAGAGAACUGGGCCCGCGCCUGCGUGCAUUCUCGUCUUCUGUCCAAGUUGGUCGCUUCCCUGCGCCAAAGUGAGCAGUAGCCAACAUGUCAGGGUGGGAGUCCUAUUACAAAACCGAGGGCGAUGAAGAAGCAGAAGAA